rfam:Dipodomys ordii contig_70241, whole genome shotgun sequence.
GGUGGCUCAGUGGCAGAGCACUUGCCUUGCAUGCAUGAGGCCCUGGGUUCAAUUCCUCAGCACCA